CCCGGCGACGCCGGAGACAGUCUC
rnacentral:piRNA from 1 species